AAAAUGGGCCACUGAUCCACCCGGAUGUCAGCUUCACACUGCCAGGCCAAAGGGAAUUAAUCCUGAAUGCUCAUGAGUAGAACCUGAAGAGCAACCACAUGAACUUGGAAGGGGACACUGUUCUGCUGACUCAUGAGUUCUGAUUUCACCCUCAGACCUGAUCUACAUCUACUUGUUUGACUAGAAGACUGUAAGUAAAGGCAUAACACAGCAGGAUGUGUUCAUUGGUUUAAUGUUGACAACA
rnacentral:lncRNA from 1 species